rnacentral:lncRNA from 1 species
AAUUCAUGGAUUAUAUGAUAGAUUGUAAAUCUGAAUUUGGAGUAUGUGGUAAUAAAUUAAGUAGGUUAUACAUGUUGGACUUGGAAAUUGAAUUAGGAGAAAACCUACGAUUUGGACCGGUCACCUGUUUAAACUGCCUGAUUUAGCUCUAGGAGCCGUUAUAAAAUUAUACUGUCGCAGUAUCCUCAAGACGAGUACUCCAGGUAGUUUAGAAUGCAUUUACGCUCGUGCUGGUAUAUCAAGUGAAUUUUUACAGGGUCGUUCAGGUUGUUCCGGACUGUUGGGUGCCGUAAGAGUUGACGGUGG